rnacentral:rRNA from 1 species
GGGCCCGCACAAGCAGUGGAUUAUGUGGUUUAAUUCGAAGCAACGCGAAGAACCUUACCAGGGCUUGACAUACUCUGACAGCUCUAGAGAUAGAGUCUCCCUUCGGGGCAGAGAUACAGGUGGUGCAUGGUUGUCGUCAGCUCGUGUCGUGAGAUGUUUGGUUAAGUCCAAUAACGAGCGCAACCCCUGUUGCCAGUUGCCAUCAUUUAGUUGGGCACUCUGGCGAGACUGCCGCGGACAACGCGGAGGAAGGAGGGGACGACGUCAAAUCAUCAUGCCCCUUAUGUCCUGGGCUACACACGUAAUACAAUGGUAACGACAGAGGGCAGCUAACCCGCGAGGGCAUGCUAAUCCCUAAACGUUAUCUCAGUUCGGAUUGUAGGCUGAAACCCGCCUACAUGAAGUCGGAAUUGCUAGUAAUGGCAGGUCAGCAUACUGCCGUGAAUACGUUCCCGGGCCUU